AACGAACGCUGGCGGCAGGCUUAACACAUGCAAGUCGAACGCCCCGCAAGGGGAGUUGCAGACGGGUGAGUAACGCGUGGGGACAUACCCACUUCUACGGAAUAGCCCUGGGAAACUGGAAUUAAUACCGUAUACGCCCUACGGUGGAAAGGAUUAUCGGGGAAGGAUUGGUUCGCGUUGGAUUAGCGAGUUGGUUGGGUAAAGGCGUACCAAGGCGACGAUCCAUAGCUGGGGUGAGAGGAUGAUCAGCCACAUUGGGGCUGAGACACGGCCCAAACUCCUACGGAAGGGGGGAGUGGGGAAUAUUGGACAAUGGGCUCAGGCCUGAUCCAGCCAUGCCGCGUAAGUGAUGAAGGCCUUAGGGUUGUAAAGCUCUUUCACCGAUGAAGAUAAUGACGGUAGUCGGAGAAGAAGCCCCGGCUAACUUCGUG
rnacentral:rRNA from 1 species